UUAAUGAGAGUUUGAUCCUGGCUCAGGACGAACGCUGGCGGCGUGCCUAAUACAUGCAAGUAGAACGCUGAUGUUUGGUGUUUACACUAGACUGAUGAGUUGCGAACGGGUGAGUAACGCGUAGGUAACCUGCCUCAUAGCGGGGGAUAACUAUUGGAAACGAUAGCUAAUACCGCAUAAGAGUAAUUAACACAUGUUAGUUAUUUAAAAGGAGCAAUUGCUUCACUGUGAGAUGGACCUGCGUUGUAUUAGCUAGUUGGUGAGGUAAAGGCUCACCAAGGCGACGAUACAUAGCCGACCUGAGAGGGUGAUCGGCCACACUGGGACUGAGACACGGCCCAGACUCCUACGGGAGGCAGCAGUAGGGAAUCUUCGGCAAUGGACGGAAGUCUGACCGAGCAACGCCGCGUGAGUGAAGAAGGUUUUCGGAUCGUAAAGCUCUGUUG
rnacentral:rRNA from 1 species